CACUUAUGCUGAGGUAGAACUGAAACCAAAACAGAAAGCAAAGAAAAAAGAAGAAAAGACCAGUGUGGGGGCAGACACUGUGUACUCAGAGCUGAGGCAGGACUCACACAAAGGUUGUUGAGGAACAGCAGAGACUGCUGGGAAACAGAGUUCAUUCUCCUGUGUUACUCCCUCAAGAUUCUACAAGACCAGGAGUUUAAACCCUCUUA